CCUACGGGUGGCAGCAGUGAGGAAUAUUGGUCAAUGGGCGCGAGCCUGAACCAGCCAAGUAGCGUGAAGGAUGACUGCCCUACGGGUUGUAAACUUCUUUUAUAAAGGAAUAAAGUGAGGCACGUGUGCCUUUUUGUAUGUACUUUAUGAAUAAGGAUCGGCUAACUCCGUGCCAGCAGCCGCGGUAAUACGGAGGAUCCGAGCGUUAUCCGGAUUUAUUGGGUUUAAAGGGAGCGUAGUCGGAAUAUCAAGUCAGCGGUAAAAAUUCGGGGCUCAACCCCGUCGUGCCGUUGAAACUGGGAGGCUUGAGUAGGUUUGAGGCAGGCGGAAUGCGUGGUGUAGCGGUGAAAUGCUUAGAUAUCACGCAGAACCCCGAUUGCGAAGGCAGCCUGCCAAGCCAUGACUGACGCUGAUGCACGAAAGCGUGGGGAUCAAACAGGAUUAGAUACCCUUGUAGUC
rnacentral:rRNA from 1 species